rnacentral:rRNA from 1 species
UACGAAGGGGGCGAGCGUUGUUCGGAUUUACUGGGCGUAAAGGGCGUGCAGGCGGCUUAUUUUGUCAGGCGUGAAAGCCCCGGGCUUAACCUGGGAACUGCGUUUGAUACGGAUGGGCUAGAGUUCGGGAGAGGAGAGUGGAAUUCCCAGUGUAGAGGUGAAAUUCGUAGAUAUUGGGAAGAACACCGGUGGCGAAGGCGGCUCUCUGGACCGAGACUGACGCUGAGGCGCGAAAGCGUGGGGAGCAAACAGG